CCCCCCCGCCUCGGCAGUCGAGGGGCAGAACCGGGCGGGAGGUUCUUCUUCCCCUGCCCAGCGCCUUCCACCCGGGGUUUUCGUUUUCAUUAAGUGCCACGUCCAUUCUGUCCUUGAACACCUCCCGGGAAUGUGACUGCACCACCUCCGUGGGCAGUCUAUUCCGAUGUUUAACCACGCUUUCUGUUAAGAAAUCCUUCCUAAUGUGCAACCUUAAGCUUCUCUUGAGGAGCUUGAGGCCAUGUCCUCUUGUCCUGUCGCUUGUUGCAUGGGAGAAGAGACAGAUACCCAGCUGGCUACUACCUCCUCUCAGGUAGUUGUAGAGAGCCAUAAAGCCCCCUGAACCUCCUUUUCUCCAGAUUAAACAACCCGAGCUCCCUCAGCUGCUCCUCGUAGGUCUUGUGCUCCAGACCCUUCACUAGCUCAGUUGCCCUUCUCUGGAUUUGCUCCAGCACCUCAAUGGCCUUCCUGAAUUGAGGGGCCUAGAACUGGACACAGGACUUGAGGUACAGCCUCACCACUGGGAAGAAUCACUUGCUUAGUCCUGCUGGUCACACUAUUCCUGAUCCAGGCCAGGAUGCCAUUGGCCUUGGCCACCUGGGCACACUGCUACCUCAUGUUCAGGAGGAUGGAGGUGGAUUUAGAUGUACUGCUGCCUUUGUGUUAUGGAAGUCUGAGCCAUACUCCUGCCACAGCUCUUGAGUCUCUCCUAGCUCUCCAAUGAGAGGAAGACCAAGGGGUGGUUUUGCUUGAACUAUAUGGCUGCCCUAUUUGGAUGGGCUCUGGGGUGACUCUCAUGUCAGUGUUUCAGGCCUUCUGUGGGAUGUGUGGAAGGGGCUUGUUUUCAAAUGACCACAUUUGUAUGGAUCCUGAGGUCCCUGCAUGUUCCUAUGGUGGUUUGUGUAUUUCAGCAUGUGAAGAUUUGAAGUAGCAUGUUGCCAGGAUGUAACUCUUGUAACUAGUCUGUCCAGUUUAAACACUUUCCAUUUUUGUUUUAAUAUCACUUGCCUUUGUCAGGCCUUGGGCAGCUUGUAGGCUGCUGAGAGGUCACUUUUCCCAUAAUCUUUCUUAGCAUGCCUCACCUCUUGGCUUCUUACACCUGCCUUUCAUGGAAGGUAGCCUAGAGGUGCCUGCUUAGAGCCUGCCUAGUCUGCUGAGGCUUCAGAUACCAACAAAUAGUUCAUCUUAGAUGGUAAUUCUGCAUCUUUGUAAAGAGAGAACUUCAGUAGAACUGUACUCGAUGGGAAAGGUCAUUCAUGGGGUUUCUCCAAGUGCUUGUUUGCAUUCUGUCACUUCAGCAAGUGAAAACUAACUGAGUAAAUUAAAAUCACUUGGGGGUCAUGUGCAUUGAUGGAAAUUAAUGCCAUUCAGUUCCAUCAGUGGUCAACAGCGAUCAUCCGAGGUCUUUUGUACAUUUUCUGAGCUUAUAGCUAAAAUGUGGUGUAAAAUGUAAACUGUCACAUAAAUGUAAAAUUUAUUGUAAAAUAUAGUUUGCUCUUCCUGUCACAGUAGGUCUUCCACCUCCAUCCUCUUGUGUGCACUUGCUUCUUGUUACAGUCUAGUUUGCAAAUCUCUUUAUGUGGCAGAUCUAUGCACUUAACUCCGGGACUUUCCAAAGAAGUGGGAAUGAAGGCAGGGCUUCUGUCCAGGCUCUUGUGCUUUAUGCCAAGCGAUGAAAACAGGGCCAUCACGGUUAUUCAGAGAGCAAAUUGAGUAAGAAUGCUUGCCGGAAGAGAUCUCUUCCUCUCUUGCUGCUUUAUGCUAUAUAAUGAUUUCUAGAACCAGGGUAAUCUUUAACUUGUCCAAAAUCUUAAACAUAAGAGCCAAACAAAAUAUUUACUGCCAUCCAGUCUGGGAAUAUCAUCCUUAUGAGGAGAAGGAACAUUGCUAUGCACAGUGAUGUAGUGAUGUCACAUUUUUAUGAGGGUUGGGUUUUUUUUUCCUUUAUAAAGUGACUUUUAUCCAAGUGGAAGGAGUUUGUCUGCAACAACAUAAUAGGAGAGUUUAUUCAAUGUCUUAAAAUAAAUGCAAUUUCUUCUGCUGGCCUCUUGUGAUUGAGAAGGCUAAAGGGGUGGCUUUCUUCAUGUCAUGGAAACCAACAGUUGAUAAGCACAGUGCUGGCUUAUCGUGGUAAAGAUAUGUAGACAAAGGGUUACUGGCUGUCCAAGAGUUUCUCCAUGUCGUGGGACUUUUGAAGCAGAUACUUCAGCAGCAGUGUGGCUUUUGGUCGGACAGGAAGAGGCCAGCAAUAUGGUGGUAGUUCAAAUACAGUAAGUACUCCACUUCCUUGCCUCACCUUUAAAGACACGCUGUCUCCAAAAGAAUUUAUGUGACACAUAAUUUAAUGUAAACAAGGAAGAUAAUUGCUUUCUUAAAAACCUGUACUCUCUGAAUUGAGUGAUUUGUGUCCUCUCCCGAGAUGUGGUUUGUUUUUUUUUUUGGUUGGUUGGUUGUUUUUUUUUCUUGUAUUUUCUACAACUGUUAGCAGUGCAAACCAUUGAGUCCCAAGGAGACAAACAAAGCAUGUGCCAGUUUGAGUUGAAGCCCAUAAUCUCUUUCCAAAUUUGGAAAUUUGACAUAUUUCUGAUUUCUUGCAGAUAAUUUUUGAAUGUGUUUAUUUCAUCAAGCCCUUGUGUUCAAGGGCGAAGAAAUAUAGCUUUGAAUAUUAUGUUCAUGUACACAAGAGAGAAAAGAAAAUUAUUUUCUUUCUGUAAGCCAGUUCAGCCAUGGUCUGUGAUUUGUCAGCACUGUGGAGGGUCAUCCAGUUUAGAUAGAACUGGACACUUCCAAGGAACAGAACAGGAUGUCACUGGCCAUUGAAGAAUUAGUCCUUUUCCUUUUGAAUAAAAAUUAAACCUGUGCUCCCAAGUGUGAGUCUGCUCAGGAGCAAAGAAGUAUCAUAUUUUAGAUUAGAAACUUAUGUCCCAAUUGCUUAUAGCCUCCAGAGAUUUUAUGGGACUGUUCUCAAAGAAAUUGUAUUCUCUUGUUUUAGAUGCUUUGGGAUUACACAUUGUAGACGUUCUGUAAGGCUCUGUUUUCUUUUCAUACUAAUUUGUGUUCUGUCCUUGUCUGAAAAUGGACUAUGUUUUGCCAUUUUUCUUAUAAUGUCUUACUAUUUUCUGCUUCCAGCUACAAAGAAACUUUUCUCGUCCUUUGGGCCUUUUCUGGUCUGCUGGAUGCUAAUGGAUGACAUGUAUAUCUGCUCCAGAGCCUUACCCAUGCAAAUAGCUUGUGAAGGCUGAGGCUGCUCCAACCAAACAUGAUUAAAAGUCAUAGGAAUAGAGAUGGAAAAAGCUAUUAGGUCAAGUAGUUCCCACACGCACCCCCUGAAUCAGUACAGGUUUGUUUCCAAUGAUACAUUUUUGGUGCUUUCCAGAAGGGGUCAGUGCAGGUCAGCGCUCGCUUUGAAUCCAACAGCCCUUCCCCCUUCUUGAAAAAUUAGGAAACCUGAAUCUAGUGACAAGUAGGUUGCAAAACGUCUAGAAUUUAUGUUAUAGCCUGUAAUUUGAUGUUGGGUGAUCAAAAGCAGAAGAAAUGUGUUCAAGUCCCACAACUUAUCAUCCAAGAUUUUAAAUGAGGAAAAUUACUGAGCUCUUCAGAAUUACUUGUUAGGUAUGUAUGUAUAUUAGAUGUUACAGAUCCUGAGAACUGUUCUGGGGAUGCUUAGUGGUAGUGAGAGUGACACGGAUUCACAGGUUUAUCCUGUUGGAUUGUCCAUACUUAGAAAGCACAUAUUACAAUAAUAUUUUGUAGUUACAUAAACAAAAGUCUGGAUAAUUAAAAUGAAAUUUCUGAUCAUAAAAGACCAAAAAAAGUGACAAAACCCCUCUUAAGUCUAAAUAAGGGAAGAGAAUAACAAUCAUGUUUCACCGAAAAUACAGUUCAUCCUAACCAACCGCUGACAUACAGGAACUUCCCUGAAGAUUGUCCAGUGUCACGAGUCUGUUGGGGCACAGAGGCUCCUGCAGGGUUCAUUGCACGCAUGUGAACCGAGUGUCCUGGUCAAGAGUGGUCACAUCUCAUCAACAGGAAAGCCUGGCCCCUUCCACACAACAACAGUGUACCCCAAAUGCCUGUGUCCAUGAAGAAGUGGCAGCUAGCUUCUGAAAUAGAGGAUGGAGAGAAUGGUAUUGAGACAAAAAUUAAUAAUUGGAAGUGGGGAGGGGGAUGAAAAGGUGGCUGGAGAUGGUAAGAAGGAAAUGCUGCAAAGAGAGCAGAGAGAGAUGGCACUCUGGUAGAGGAACGACCGACUCACUUGAAUAUAACUUGUUUAUAUUUUUAAGGUUUUCUUAUUUUCCCAGUGGAUAUGGCUAUUUUUCAAAGUAAAAUAACCAAGUAAUAAUUUCAUUACGUUUCCUUCCAAGAUUUCAAGCUAAGUGUAAACAAGAAAAAUCCAGUGGGAAAAUUAAUCCAACUUCCUUUUUCAAGAGCGCUUCAGUUCUGUUUCUCCCCUCACCACUCUCCUUAUGUAUUUUCAUUGCUACUGUUCUUAUACCCAGUAUCUGUGGCAUUGUUGACAUCAGCUGCAAUACCUCAGUGAUGGCAUUUAUCAGAGAGAGAAGCCUUUAGGAUCACUGAAAAGCACUUCUGAUACAGAAACGAUAAGUUCUGGGAUUUUCAGUUUUUAAAAAAUACUAAUGACUUUUGAUGCUUUGGGAAUGUUCCAUAUGGGCAAGUCAAAGUGAUGGAAAACAACUGAAGAACUUGCAUUGGAUUUAAUCUCUGGCAGUUAAUAUUUGGGCUGCAUGGGAGAAUCGUAAGGAACAAAAAUUCUGAAACAACACCAUGGCAAUCAGACAGGCAGACUUCCAAAGCUUUAAUUUUUCCAGAUGUUAAGUGCCUUGAUUUUCCAGCUCAGGUGAAGGAGAGACUUCAGAAAAACAGACAAUAAAAAUCAUUGGAUUUGUAAGGGUUGGUUGGCAUAAAGACCACUGCAUCGCUGAGUGUUCAGAUACCAGUGUGCUGAAACACAAGCAGUGCUAAUAUGCAUUAAAUGAAGUCAGAGGCUUUAUCUGGGACAUAAAUCAGGAUAUGUUUUAUAAGUUUUAAAAUACAUUUGUAUGUUUUUACAAUAAGAAUGCUGCAUCUUCAGGUGCUUCUAGGCUGCAUUUUAACAAAUGCCGAGUUUGCCUUCAAUAACAGACAUGCUUGUAAAAAUGGCGAGGAUGAGCAGGAGACUCAGAGUCCGCUGGUUCAUUCCCAUUAGGAGAGCCCUGGGGUGGUCUUUCACUGGGGAGCCAUGGAAGCCUGAAGCCAGCUGUCUGCAUCACUGUUCUGUGCUGUUGGCUGCAGAGCGUAGAGCCUUGACUCAGUUUCUCUUUUGUUGUCACCAAAGCUUGAGAUUUAUUAGAGAGGCCUUGGGACAACGUAGACAAAACCAGUCAUGUUCAGUCCUUCCUUCUGCCAAACUGAUGUAUCGCUGUAGAAACUGCUUUAUUGAGUAUUUAGUGUGGACAUCUGUAAGCUUCAUAUCCCUGUCUCUGAGUGCAGGAGGAUCCACAAGCUCAGCUAUCAAUCACUACAGUCAAGAGUUAUAUGAGACUGGCUGAGUGCAAAGCAGGCUCUACAGCCCCUUCCAGCCAGAGAUCAAACACCUAGACUUUUAGUGAAGUGGUAUUUUUUAACCAGGCAUAGAGUCAAGGCUGAAACAGUUUGCAGGAGAAAGUGCCAGCUGGGUUUAUACUUCGUGAAAAGAGUAGAGGCUCUGUUAUAAUGACAAACUUUGCAAUCCUCUUCUUGCUCAUCUUCCCAUUUUUCACUCCAUGAGAUUGGAGUGGGGGAAGCCCAUGCUGUGCUCUGAUGUUGGACCAUGAUGGGACGUGAUGGGGAGAUCUCCAGCAGGGUUUUACUCUUAUGGCUCCUCCAGCCAGAUGGCUUCAAUCUACUGACCAAUUCUCUGUGCUUUGUGUGAGGUCUGCAUGCAAUUUAAAUGGAGCCUGUUCUCAGCUAGUUUUGCCUUUUCUUUGCCCCCCUCCCCCACAUGCACAUAUAUUCCCAUCUGACCCUUUUCAUGCUUCCCCCUUUCUUUAGCCUUUCGGGGAAAUUGUGCUGGCACCAUACAACAAAUAUAUCAGCUGGACUCGCCUCAAAGUCCUUCAGUUUUGGAGGCUUUCAGUCAUCUAACUCCUCCGAGUAUUUCUGAGAAGAGUGCUCCCUUAGCCAACUGUGCUGUUGAUGUGGUUCUCAGAGUGGUAUUUCUUUGUGAUGCUGCUGUUUUCCAGCUGUUUAAUAGUUUAGAACAUGGCAUUUCAUGUACACACCUAUGUGUGCCACCACCGUCAGUCCCAGCAGAUUUUUCUAAUACACAAAGCACUGUUAUCUGAACUUCUAAUUAUCUUUGCAUUCUGCAAAUCUGGAAAAUAUGCAUUUGCUCUCUAGGUUAUUUUUUUUUAAAUUUUCCAAUAUUGUUCAGCGUGAAAAACCUCAAAUAUCAUGACAAAUAAAAGCAGGGAAUGCCCUUCUCACUGCAUUUUUAUCACUUAGCACUAAAAUUGCACUGAGUAAUAGACAAUAGGAGACAGUCUUAUUAGGCAGUCUUGUAAAGAGAAGACAGUAGAAGACAAUAGAAGAGUGAUAACCAUACAAGACAGUAGGACCUCUCUGUUUGUUUUGUUUAAGUCGUCAUCAAGCUUGCUUCCUGGACUGGCAUGUGGGAAAAAAGAUCAGGUGGGCUGGAGUGAUGAUUGUUGGUCUGUUAAAAUCAGUUUUACUUCAUCCCUAACUGUCUGUGCUUUCUGCUUUGCAGUCUUUUGUGCUGCAUUUUUAGUGAAUUCUUUACUUUUAUUAAUCAUUGAUCUGGAAGAGGCUUGGAGGCUUCUGGAAAACUAUAGUGUUGUCCUCCUUGCCAUCAGGUGAAAACACAAUAUACUUUUGCAUUUCCCUAUGGCUUCCUCUACGAGUUGUAGCUGGCUGGAUGCCUUAUCUGUUUAGAGACAGAUAAAGGAAAAAAGAAUUUCCCUUGGGGAAAGAAGGACAUGGUAGUAUUUUUUUGAUACUUUCCAAAUCUCCUGGUACAUUGGACUAUAGGAUCUACAUGGGUCAUGUUGUGCAGCUCAAAGAGCUGUUUCACUGAUGAGGAUUUCCAAAGUGCAGUGUGGUGCUUUUUGUAAUUUAAUUUCUGUCAGUUCUUUCCGGGAAAGGCAUUCUGUGUCUGUUUGUGUGAGUGACAAUGACAACCAAUUCCCAUUUUGAUAUCCGAGACAUGAAAAUAAAAUCCCUUCUUGAGCCCAAAGACACUUAUUUCUGGUACCCUGCAGAUCUAGUAUAUAAACAAGAAGGACUCUGCUUUUGUAUGUGUCCCCCCCAAAAACCCAGCAAAACAAAACUGUUAACUGUAAUCUCACUGAGUGAAUCAGAGAAGAACAUGAGCUUGGCAUGCAAUAAGAAAGCUUAGGCAGUACUCAGCAAAGAUGAAAGUGAUAUUGAUGACCAUAGUUUAAUUGGGUUUUCAUAAAACAUGCUGUUCUUCACAAUUUGGCUAAUGCUUGAUAGUUUCUUUUUAUGAGUCUGGCAAGGCAAUGAAACUUCAAACCAUUUGCUUUGCAACUGGAAAAAUGAACCAGAGAGAUAUUCAGAAGAGCACUAGGACUCUUUGUCUCUUGUAUUAAGGAAAAGCACUUCAGCAGCAAGGGAACGAGAACCUCCCGCAAUCACACAAGCACAGUUUAGCAGUAAAUCAGCUCAGCUGCAGUCCUCACCACAUGAUAUUCUGUAGUUGCCACUGGGGAGAAUUCUGCUCAUCUCCAGACAAGAUUGUGACUUGAGUUAAUAUUUAUUUCCGUUUUUACAGAUGUGCUGUCCAGUGAUGGAUGGGGUGUGUUAACCUUCUACUUUUUCACACCUGGUCCACACCUGUUUGGGAUCUCAUUCCCUGUCCUACUGGGCAGCAGCUCUUGAACUUUGUUGGAUCCUGGAUCUUGGGCCAACUGAGGGUGGUGAAAAGCUUUGAAACUCUUGGCCAAAGGGCUUUUUGUUUUUAAAGUCAGAGAGGUUGGUAGGUUUUGUUUUGUUCUUGAAUGAAUAUUCAUUCUCAUGACAGAAACAUUUCACAAUAAGCUGUUUUCAUUUGACAGCUCUUUGGCAGUACAUGUGUGAAAUAAAUUGGUUUUUUUGUAGUCCAGUUCCUAGUGGUCGAGAAUAUCCCUGUCUCAAAAAGGCUUUGGACUUUUGUUGCACUCAUUGACAGUUUAAUCAAAAAAGUUGUGGACUAAGUAUUCCUUAGAGUCUAAACUCUCUAGAGAACGUAGAAGUCCAUCCCCCAGCACACUGUGAAGAAUCUUGUCUUGCCUGUGCAGCUCUUUUUGAGUAAGAAGGGGACUUUGGACUCCAGGGCUGUGGAUUCAAUAGCAUGAAAUUCAAUACCAAAAUUUUAAAACAAAAAACAAAUGGUAUUGUUUUGAAUCCUUUUAUAGCAUGUUUUUUUCAUUUGCACUGCGGGAGCUUUAAAUAUUAGUAUGCGAGCACUAGCCAAAUUUAGGUUGAUCGAGACUAGAGGAGAGUUCAGAGAGACCCAGCUAAACUUACUGAGGAGGAGGCUCCAUGGCAAAUGAAGUUCCUUGUAGAGUGCCAGAAGACAAAGCAUGAUCUGGGAGAAAACUAAUUUGCUCAGAUGUCUUGAAUUGCUCUAACUUAAUUCUUCUAGUUUAGGAAAAGAUCUGAGCAGCACUACUCAGUGCAUUUGUAGUAUUACUGUCUACUUGACUGGGCAGUGUGUGAAUGGCAAGCAUGUGGAGAGUCACUGUAGUUAUUAAUAACAUAACUGAAAGCCAGAAUAAACAUGAUGUUUCAGGCUUUUAAACUAAUGUCAGUUCGAAUUUGGAUGGUGGACAGGCUACUAAGUGGAUUUUAAAUCCUCCUCUGUCUAGUCUGGUAGCUUUUUCAGGAGGUAAAAUACUGAACUGUGGAGACCUUGGGACUGCUGCAACAGAGCGACUCACAUAUUCCACAUCUGCUGGUUUCUGUCUGUAUGGACUAAAGAAGGUGGUGAAUUGAGACUGAGGUACAUAGAAGAAGCUGUACUGUGAAUGAGGGAUAAGAACAAUUGGGAUGUCAUAAGCAAAGGCCAAGGUGUGCAGCAGAGAUGGGUUGUGGGAUCACAGAGCUGAGUGGUGUUUAAUUUGUGAGCAGACCAGCAUGUCACUGUUGCACUGGGGGCUAUCGAUCAAGGCUCAAAGACAACUCCUGGGCAAUAUGUUACAGUCCCAGGGCAGAAAUAGUAGGGGAGCUGCAGGUCAGCAGAGAUUGUUGUGGUGACACCAGGGAAGAAUAGAGAAAGAAAGGGAGUUGCCAGUCAGGAAUGAGGGAUGCUGGCAGAGCUCAGUAUUUGGAGUAACUGGUUAGUGCUAAGUGCUUUCUUCUUCCUUGGAUGCCAUUAUAUGUCAGUUUUUCCUCACUGGGUUUCUUUUUUUUUUUUUUUUCCAUUUUCCUGUAAGAAUCUGAAUCCCCCUGAGCAGCAGGUGAUCCUGACUAUAAUGUAGAGGAAUAAGCUUGGAAAGUUUUAUCAAAAGAAAGUGGGUUAUAAAAACAACUCUCUCUGCACGGCUUGAACCUGUCAGCAUGACGCUGCCGACGAUGCAGCUGGAGGGGAAUGCGACAGGCUCCACAGCCCUGAGACAGAGCAGCCCACACAGCCUGCUAAUGUUAUGGGCCUGGCGUGGAUUUGGGGAAGGUGUGCCUGCUUUGCCAGGUGGGCCAUGCAUGGAAGUCAGAUGCUAAAGUAGCCGUAAGCCUAUAAUCAAAGUAAUCAUUUUGAAUCUCAGUUCUGCCAAGAGCUUGAGAGGGGUAAGGAAAGUGCCUGAAAGUCCUGCUGGACUCAUCUCCAAUGUACAGGGUGCUUUUGAGUGUCUGCUUUGGGACUUAUCUUUUGGCCCUUCACAAGAUGAAAGGACUCUUUGCAAGGAUAGUCCUCUCUGCACGUGGCUGCAGCAUGAAGUUGCGCUGGUGUCCAGGUGUGGGGCAGUCAAAUAAAGCUAGAAAGAAAGUGGCCAAUGGCUGGGGAAGUUUGUGUGAAGUGGCACAGGAUGCUGGUCUGCCCAGGAUGUCUUGCUGCUCGGCUCAGUGUCAGUAGCCCUAGAGCAGGGGUUGCUGGAAACAUUUCCAUCCAGACAAAUUGACUCUGUUUGUUCCUGUUGGCUUUGUUCCUUUCUCUUUUGUGUUCCAGAAAGGGAGAAUUUACCCUCUGAAAAUGCAGGGCUUACACGCAAUUUUCCUGGAGCUCAGUUAGUCAGCCAAAUCAGCAGGAGCUUUUUGGAAAUGACAGGAGCCAGCUGAGGUCAGUUUUGAUCUGGUAAGAACUUUACUAAACCAGUAUUGGUUGGGAGUCACUUUCAUUAGACCAAGUCAGUAGGAACUGCAGAGAGCUGGCUGAAAAGGUGUAAUUCCUGGUGAGGAGUUCUUGGAUGAAAAUCACUUCCUAGAUGAAGGAGUCAGGGCUAUGCUGAAUUAUUUGAGUCUUUGUUCUCAACCAGGUGAACUAAACUACUCUCUUUAAGUUUUUUUCCAUCUUUCCUUAUUGUAUACUAAGACUCUUUCCAAACAGACAUCAGUGGACCUAUAGCUUUUGCGUAAGGAGUAUCAGAAGUUAUUAUGCCUUUUGUGGGUGCCCAGAGGCCAGGCUGGAACCUUCUCUGCUCACAGCUGCUGUCUUAAUUCCACUGUGUGGUCCUCAGUCCAGUUGUAUGGAGGCUUCUCUUGAUCAUCAGAAAUACUGCAGGAAAGUAUUUUCUCUCACUGUCCUCAGAGCUGUCUAUUUGGAGAAGAGGUGUCAUAUCAUAGCAUGACACACGAAUGUAUGUAGUGCUAUCUUCUGGCAUAUUUGGCAUGCCAUGUCUCUAGCUGUGCAGUAGCGUAUGUGAGCAUGUCCUUGUGUCUAUCAGUUGAGGUAGCUCACCCUAUCUCCCAGGAUGAUUUUGCAUUCUGUUUUCUGGGUUGUUACAUCCUGAUGAUGGCAUAAAUUUUCUCAGUGCUUCCAGGCUGUCCUGCUUCUCAUGUGUCAUCUGAUCCAUGUUCUUAAGUGACUAGCUGGAGAUGCAGAUCUCAGCUCAAUUCUCUGCUUUGCCACAGACUUUCUGUGUGACCUUGACAAGUCAUGAGGUGAUUUUUCAAACAUGUUUUUCUUGUGAGCAAUUAAGGGGCACAUUUUUAGAAGCAGAAGUCAAACUCCAAGAGAAUAGCAAGAAUGAGCUUUUGUGUGCUGGCCAGUCAUGAAGUACAGAGUACCUACUUAUGAUCUGUGUGUUUUUAUUUGAGAAAUAAUAGCUUAAUUACCAUAUGAUCAGGAGCAUAGCUACGUUGGCAGAGACACCUAGGGGGAAUGUGGUCUGCGUAUCUAGAAGCCUUACUGCUGGACUGGGCAUUGUUUACUGCCUCCUUUUCCCAGCCUAGGGCCAUUUCCUUGUUUACUGAGUGAUAAAAAUGAGGACACUAUAGAGUGCAUCACUUUGGAGACAUCUGCAUGAGGGGUUUUGCUGGCACAGUUACAUCAGCGGUCCUCUUUGGCCGGAUGAGCUUUGCAGUGUGGGACAAGCCUUAGUCUUUGAGUUCCUCAGGGACUUAACUGGCUAUGGUGUAUAAUUGUGCCUCUCUUCCCUAUAGGUCUGUAUGAAGAUGGAACAUAUUAAAAUUAAGAGUUGCACAAGUUGUAGCUGAAGGGACCAUUGAAAAACUUUGAUAGAUACUUGGGAACAGGAGGUUCAGAAUGUUUGGUGAUGAAAAAGCAGUGUGAUGCCAGGGGCUGUAUUGCUGGCAGCAUAACAUAAACACCUUUGACUUAUAAGCUGGUGCCAAAUGAAGUUCUCAAAAAGCCACGGAAAGGCUACCUGGAAAAUCAACAGAUGUGUUACAUGCAAAUGAGCCAGCUUCCUUUUUGUAGUUCUCAAAAUGAAUCCUUCUUCUGCAAGGUGGUUUGGGCAUUUUAGGGAGUGGUAAGUGAACCACACCUCUUCUUCCAAAUUUUUCUCACUGACCCACUACUGGGCCUUAGUUCUGCCAAGGAAAAGCCUUUUAAAGUUCAGUGUCAACAGUCAAGUGUUGUCUGUUCUCUGAAAGGACAACAUGUAUCUGAGGGAUCUAAAAAUAUCAUUCAAUGUUGAGAACUAGAGAAUUUAUGUACUUUAUAGGGACCCAAAUUACAUAGAGCCAGUAAAAUACAAAAAUUAAUAACUUUGUCCGGUAAUUAAUUGCUAGUAGCAUGUGAGGACAGUUUUCAGGAAAGACUAGUUUUCAUUCUUGGUUUCCUGAAUUGAUAUAUGUCUAUCCACUUACCUGCCUACCUCUACUGGACAAGCACAAGAUUAUGUUGAAGAAUACAGACCCUGAGUUAGAUUUUGAGUUAGAUUCUUUGCAUGUUAGCUAUGCCAUGCACAGACAGUGGGGGGAGAUCAUUAGGAAGCCAAAUGCAAUUUACUUGUCACAGAGUGAGUUAUGGUAUGCUAUGGGCAGUUUUCUCUUAUGCUAUUGAUGGAUAAACUCCACGGACUCUUAAUCUAUGGAGAAUCAGAUAAUAAAACAGAAUUCUGUCAAGAGCUCUGCUCCAUUAAGGCAUCUCUCCCCCACCAGGAACCACUCCACUGUCCUUUUGCACUCACAAUCCUGACAAUAGUUAUGCAAAAUGGCAGGGAUGGAAAAAAGACUGAUAAGUGGUAUAUAGUUUCCUGGCCAUUUCUUCCAUCCCAUCUCACUCCCUCUGUUUUUAUAAAUGGCAGAGAGGGACUGGACUGUAUCAUACAAGUCAUGUUACUUUUUGUUGUUUUUUUUUUUAACAUUAUACACUGAAUUGUGGUAUAAACUGCAAAUGCUCUGUAAAGGGCUUUUUUGCCCUUCAAUACAAAGAUUUCAGUCUGUGCCCCUUGUACAGCUCUGCCUCUCUCUUCUAAUGGGAGGCCUCAGCAUGGGGAAACACAUCCUAAGAAAGGAGAACAACAGGGCGGGAAUUAGUCGGAUGCAGAGGAGAGCAGCUCGAUACUAACGGCCAAAUAGGCUCUGACAGCCUCACACCAACGGGCCACUCUCCUCUAUGGGGAGUUUAUGAGGCCUUGGCUUGUGUGGCCACCUCCACUUACGAAUGAAAAUCAAAACCAGAUUGAUGUCCCCCUCCCAACAGCAGCUGCCUGAUUUUUUGCAUAAAUCGUGCUCCCCGGCCCCUCUCCAGGGGAGCUCCAUAAAAUAAAUGGAUUCAUUACAUGCGGAUUUCCUUUUCCUUCUUCUCUGGAGAAACAAAGAGCCUAUUAGACGCAAUAUGGAAAUGCACAUAUGCAUGCACACACGUGCAGACAACAUGAAAAUGUGCACGUGCACAUGCAGCGUAUAAGCUCCCUCCCAUCUCAGUACCCAGACAGUGCCAUAAAAUACAUGGAAAAAUCCCUUCUCCUUUACAGCUCUGCCGAACACACAAGCCUGUAUUCAUUCGCACAGAUCUGCAGCUUAAAUUCUAAACUAAAAAGGACAGGAAAGCCCAGGGCAAGUUGCUCCCUCCAGAAGGUGGAGGACUGUGAGUGCACUGAGUGGAGGUUAUUUCCUUUUGCCAAAGACUCCCCCAGUGCCCAGGAGCUGUGUUUUUACCAAGAGCGUAAGGGCCCCAACCUCCGCAGAGCAGGGCUCACAACAGGCUGCACGCUUGGGACACCAUAACCGCAAGAGCUGGGAGGCUGCCAGCUUUCUCUCCAGCUGAAAUAGAGGAAGGUGCUUUGUGGCUGAGAAGAGGCAGAGGGAUGAAGGUAAGGAAAUGGCUGGGUGCCCUUCAUUCCUCUCAUCUCCAGGUGGCGGCAAUACUGGCACAGGAAAGAACUGGAAAACAUACCUUCCCCGGAAAGCUCUGCCUGUGUGAAGCAGCCACAGAUGCAAAUCUCACACACCUGUAUACCAGGGUGAGGGAUGCACUGGAAACCCCUUGCUGAUCAGGUUACAUGAAGUUAGGAGGUGCGAUCACCUUCAAAAUGAUGCCCUAAGACACUGGCCCCAGGACAAGACUGUAGUACGUGGGCACGUUCACAUUGUAUGCUAAACUUGGGUCACAGCCCGAGUUUGAGCACUAACUUGCUUCCCAUGCAAAUUGUGAACGCCCUAACCCUCAGGGCCAACUCCCUACAUCUUCAGUCGGAAAGCCUUUGGGGCUCUAAAAGCCCAGCCUCAACAGGGUGCUGUGCUAUAGAGCCAAAAUUACAGCAGCAGUGGGAAACUGGUUGUAACCUUUACCAGCUUCUGGCUACCACCUGACAAGGGAGCCAGGGAGGAAAGGGAGGAGUAAGAGGAGAGCUGUUUUCGCUCCCUGGCACCAAGGGAUUCUAUGCCCUGAGACAAGGGAGAGAGACUCAGAGCUUAGCUAGAGGGUGGGAGGCAAAUAUGGACAUUUGCUGGGACAAAGCUCAGGACCAUGCUAAGGAUAUGCCACUAGUGCCUGAGCUGGACUGAGUUUUGAUGUUCAAGGGAACAUCAAUCUCCUUUUUUAUCCAGAAUCCAUACUGCUGUGGAGCACUUUUUAGUCUUUUAGCCUUUUUAGAAAGCAGCGGUGUAAAUUUAGGAGGGCAAAGCAGCAGGCUGGAGGCAAGAGAGACCCAUUCAAAAUCAAGGGGUGGGGAGAGCAAUGUAGCCAGCAAAAGGACUUCAGAUACACAAUCCAAGACCUGAAUCUCUCAAAUCAUAAACAUCUUACACAGUAGUGUAAGAAGAUACUAGUGUUUUUCUCAGGCCUUCAAUAUUGGGCUUUAAGGUUACAGUCAGGUUCCACUGCUAGCUUUUCCUGGCAGCUGUGAAGAGUAGGAACUUUCCCUUAUAUGAUGUAAGUUUUCACGUAAUUGAGUGAGUCUGGGAGCUGGAGCUUUACAAAAAACGGUGACUCGAAUGGGAUGUCUGAUGAAAUCUAGGAAGUCAGCAGCAUGGGGGGAGGCAGACCCUGCAGAGGAGGGCUUCUGAAGAGCUGCUGAACAGAAGCCUUGCGUCUGAGAGAAGCUAGCAAGAACUGAGACAUGAGGGAGCUCAAAGGAGUUCACAUUGCCUUAAAUUCAGUAUUCUAAGUCCCAAAGUUUCAGACAUUUUAAGCUGGACCACAAAAAUUUGUGAUAACUCCAAAAUCAUGGGUUUUUGUAAAAGAAUAAAUACUGCAUUUUCUCUCUUUGCCUCUGAGCGUUAGAGUUGCCUUCAAAUAGCUUUUUGUAGUUUUUCCCUGCAGUGAAGAAAACAUGUUGCAUUAGUAUCACAAUUUUUGGUUUUUCCCACACACAAGAGGACUAGAAACUUGUCUUAUGCAGAUAACACUUUUCUCACCUAAUCAUCUGUCAUCAGGUUCUGGAGCUUUAAGGAAAAACAGGACCAGUAUAAUGAGAUCCACAACCCAUCACAAACACUGGCAGUGCUACUUCAAAUGGCUUCACUUCACUGAUGUCAGCAAGGACUUUGUAUACACAAAUAUAGAGAUUGCAAUCUUGAUCCUGGAAACACUGGAACCUUGAAAUGGUAAAACUGGGUGAGCCCUAAAAUCCAUUUAUUCCCGGAUCCUGUCUCUGAUUAUCUGAUGCUUUCUCUGAUGCCUUUGCCAGAUGCUUUAGGGGAAGGUGCAAGAACCUUGCAGCAGGCAGAUGUAACAUAAUCUGUUCAACACUUACCAUCACUUUCUGGUUCCUAUCUAUUAGAGAUGGGACUGGGACCAGGAAUAUAAAUUUUAGCAUCUUUUCUGAAAGCGUUGUUAGUGAUCAUUGUUAUGCUUUUUUUUUCUUCUCAUCCACAUCAUUGUCCAAUCUUUUUAGAAAAUUGUUUGCUUAAUUCUUGGCUUCUGCAGCUUCUUGUGUUCGGGACAGCUUAAUCCAAUUACAGAUGAGUGAAAGAGAUUAGUUACUUUGAUGAAGUUUGGACCAGUCACUUCUUCAUCUGAUUGAAUAUCUGUUCAUCCUUGUGUGUCCAAGGACAGCAGCAAGUCUUUCUCUCUGUGAGUAUUUUCAUCAGGAUGUCUUGUGGUUGCAAGAAUACAUGAUGCUAGGGAUUUGUGCCAGUGAGUCUCCCAUGUACUUCAUCUGCUUACUUUUACAGACCCUGCUUCUCCCCAGUGUUUUUCUCUCCCUACACAUGUUACCUGACAGCUGAGUGUUACCUGAGCACUCAGGUUGAACUGAGACAGUCUCUGGUCUGUUUCUUGCUGUGACGUUUUGCAUCAACAUCUGCUCCUCUUUAGACUAUAAGGUCUGUGGCAAGAAUGAGCUUCUGUGUAUGUAUGUUUGUGUCUGCAAAUCAUGAUUUCCAAUGGAACCUGUCUGUUCUGCUGUAGUGCAUACAAUGAUUAGCAAUAAUUCCUAAUUAAACACCUAAAUGAACCCUGCUCUGCCGUUCACAGGGUUGAGUUGAGAGCCCUUUCUUUGUGACCUUGGGCCCAGGCUUCGUGGUGGGGCUCAUCCCUGCAGCACAACAAGGCCAGUGGCUUGAAAGGAAUGCAGCACUCCUGAUUCUCCAUGGGAAAGCAGAAGGCACACUAUUCUCUCUAGAAACAAUCCUGUCUCUGGUCUCCCUCCUUUGCCCUUAUCUCCAAGGAGAUUUGUAGGCAAAUAGGAUCAAAGGCUCAGAGAUGCGAGAUAGACUGCCUGAAUAUUCACUGGCAGGCAGGGAUAGGUGGUGCACUUCAAGCAACCCAUCCUCAGCUCACAAGUGAGCAAGGAGGAAGGAUAGAGGCAGGGGAUCAAGCCCUGACCCUUCUCUGACAGUCACUAUUUUUUCUUACACUUGGGAGGCACUUGCUGCAAUUUCUGGAACCAGUACCUCCCCUCUGAAUGGAAAAUCCAGCUGGAGAUGUGCCUGUGAUAUCUGACACUUACAAUUCACGGUAUGUUGGUUGCUUCUGCAAAUUGGAUUGGGAGCACAAACAUCCCCUCAUGACUUGCCAGCCACGUGUGGAGUUCAGUAGUCACACUGUGUGUGGGCUUCUUGGAGAGGAGAAAACUUUCCAAGCAGCAAUGGGCUGUGAUGAGGGUGAGAAGUGGGUGCAAGUAGGGGUGAUGACUCCCCAGUUUGGAUCUGAGCAAAGAGGCAGGUGAGGUUUGAUAACUUGCAUAUUUGCUCAGACGCAGGAGCUGGUGGGGAUUUGUAGGUGAGGAGCUGAGCAGCUGGCAAAGGAGAUGAUCUAAUGGAAAGAGGAAGGAAGAUUUUGUCUCUGCUUGUGUGUGGCUUUUUUGGCUUACUGUUUUUGGCAGUCUGCCUCCAGGGACUGGAACUGCAGAGUUCAGCCUGGGCUUCCUCCUGGAGAAUAGCUUGUGGCUUUGAUCAACCACAGCUAUGUUCCUCCAUCCCUGCCUGCUCCCUGAGCAUGGAGUUUGGCUAUUCAGACAAGUGGCAGCUCGCCACGGGCCCUGCUGCUGUGACAGCCCUGCCAGAGCCAGGACUUGCUCUCCAGGCAAAGAGAAAGAUGCUGGUAGGCCCAAUUGCCUCUGUUGUGUGAUGGGUUUUCAGCUUCAGUAUAUCAGCUCUGCUGCCCAGACCACCCUUCAAGUCCCCAUGUAGCAGGAAAGGGCCAAAGGAGCCUUGGAGACAGCAGUGUCCUGGCUCUCAAGGGAGACCAGGCAAGUUUGUAGGGGAAGGACAGAGACGGAAAUGACCAAGGCAGUUGGAGGGACCAUGCUGCAUCUGCCAGCCUCUGUCUUCUAUGCCUGGCCUACUGAAUGGAGCAGAAGGCUCCUCCUGUGUGUUUGUCAUGUCCUGGCAAAUUAUCUGUGUGUAGUCACUCCUUCCUCAACAGCUGGGGUGUACAGCAAUAAAAUCUGUCUGCAUUUCAGACAGUGCUGUUUUCAGGUUCAUCUAUUCCCUGCUCUAGCUGGUGAUCCCUGGAGAAGGAUAUAGUAAUUAUGGGAGAGUAAUAUUCAGGCUGCCCUUCACACCCACCACAUACACUAUGCCAUGGGUUAGCUGAUCUCAGGAAUGCACGUUGAAAACCAGCCCCAGGUUGUCUUCUUUGGGCUGCAGCACCCAUCACUGUGAUACUUGGACACCACUCAGAUUGUUGAAAGCAUGAAAUCUCAAAGCUUAGAGUUCUUACUGGCCUCUGGAUAGGCCCACUGGCCCAGCCUGCAUCCAGACACAAAACCCUGUCUAUCCUCUGAUUUGCAGACAGGAUGUUUUUUCCCAGUAGUUUGAAGGUAGACUCAGGUCUGGCAGUCUGCACAGCCUACUAAAAAGCAGUCUUAUAAAAUGUGAGGUAGGAAGCAAAACUCAGCACCACAAGAGAAAGAGGAGGAAACCACCAAUUAGGAACAGCUCCUGAGGGGAUGCUUUUUUAGGAGCCAGGAGGCACUCUACCAACAGGGCUUUUGGAGCAGGAUGGGGCUGGCUGGGGAGGGCAGAGCCAGGGGUACCUGACUUGCACAGAGCCUUUCUGCACUCAGGAGGGCUGGUCCUGCAGCCCAGCAGCUGCUGCACCUGAAGCAAAGCAGCAAGAGAUUGCAUCCUGGCUGGGCGAGGACUAGCACCCAGGAGUAGGGAGGAAGAGCAGGAGGAGCACCGGAAGGUACAGCCCUCCUUAGCCUAUGGCAACCAGCUGGCAAUGAGGAAUUCCUUCCUCCAGAAAUCAGCUUUACCACAGAGUAGCUGGGAGUAGCUUUCAAAGCUCUCCUGAUAGCCAGGUUUCCCACACAAUGGCAAAUGUGUGCCUGACCGCAGGGCAGCUGCAGGCAGGCAGAGGUUCUGUGGCCCUGCAGAGAGUAGAGAGAGGUCCUCUUGUGCAAAACUAACCCACAGCUGGUGUCCAGCUCCAGAGGUGGCCUCUUACACCAUCAGAUGUAGGUUGGUAGAGAAAAAAGACACAAGGUCUGAGCUUUGUAGUCACUGCAUCCUUCCUACAGUUUGGUAAAUGCCAGGGGAUUAUUGUUUAGGUCUUGGCCUGUUGGGCUGUUGCAGCUGACUGGGAGCCAAGAUUAUUGUUGGUGGUGUCCGAGUGUGGUUGGUGGUGGGGGCACACUCCUGAUAAGGAGUGUUGAGACACUGAGGACUGAACGACCAGGAUGUGUCUUGUUGCCCAUGCGAUUUCUCCUGGAGACGAGUGGGUGUGCAGUGUGGCUUUUAUUUGCUCCAGUCUAUCUUGUUUCUCAGUUUUCCUGGAGAUGACAGCUUCUUACCAGCUUAGGCAAUGGGGUCUGCGGGGACAUUGAGGUAAAAUACUUGCUUAGGGUCACUGGGUGCUGCCUACAGGAACUGUCCAUGGCCUGUGAGGAGAAGGGCCUCCAGCGGGCAGCCUAAAGUGCCUGAAAUCCCAUCUGCUUUUUGGGGUGCUGGUGGAAACUUCGUAGGAGAUUUAGGUCCCACUCUUUUUUCAGCAAUGAGGUGGCUCAUCAGCUGGCUUCCCUGACAGUUUUUAGUAUUGCCUGUGGUCACCAUUUACUACCCUGUAGGGUUUCAGUGCUUUGCUUCAGCUCUUUAACAACUGGAUCUGUGCUUUGGGAGUGGCUCAGCUGUCCUCACCAAUCCCCCUGAGUGAAAGGACAUAUAAGCAGUGCUUCACGUCACAUCUGCCAGGCACAGGUCACUGCAGUGGCCACCCAGAGCACCAUGGGCAGUGUGACACAAAGUAUUUUGAAGAUGCUGUAAGUGAGACCUGCUUAAAUAUUUGCUUUGAUUGAAGCAGGGACUGAGAUGUGAGACUGGGACACUCAGUCUUUAGUGUCCCAGACAUUUUCCCCAUCCUGAAAGUUUCUGUGUGGAGGUGCUCUCCCUCUUCCCAAGGAGCUAUUUCAUGUUGUGUAAGGAUUCGGUGCUCAUUAGGUGAGUGAUUUGAAUACAGGCCUCAUCCUGUCAGAGGAAUCACAGCAGUGUAAUGAAUCAGUCUCUCUGGUCCAUUUGAUGCAGACUAUGAAUCUGGGUCUCCCACAUCCUUCUUGCAAACCUAACCUUGACUCUUUUUCUGGUCUGUCAGCCCUGAUAAAUUUCCACAAAGAGGUUAAUUUCCAGUAAAUUUUUUUUCAAUUAAAAAGCUAACAACAAAAUUUGCUGAGAAAUGUCAGGUAAGAUCUAGUCCAGACCUAGUCCAGACAUGUCAGCCUUUUGCCCAGGAAAGAAUUUGUACCAGAAAUUAUCUUGCACUGAUGAAUCUCAUAGAUGUGUUGCAGAGUUGCCAAUAAAUGUUUUGCCUACUAGCACAAGCAAGUGAAAAAAGGAAACCAAAAGGGAGCUUUAGUUUGACACACCAGGUAACAGAAAUCAGGCUGUGUAAUAUUUUCUGCCUGACUACCCUUACCUAAUAUGAGCAGCAUGGUGAAAAGGGAAGCAAGAAGCGGGUAGAAGUUAGAAAGAUAUCUUCUGAGUCAUUGUGGAGUGAACAGGAAGUCCUGAUGAUUCAAGAUUUGGCACUUUCCCUUGCUGAACCCAAUGGCACAUCCUAGUGCCAGGAGAAACUAGGCUGUAGGAAGUGCAAUCUUUUGGCUGAGAUAACAGACCUGUGAUUUUCCUCUUCAUCGAUAGGGAGUCCACUGACAUUUUUCAUGAGAAAGUAAAGCUCUGUUUAUAGUAUCAGGACUGAGACUGUGCGUGGAAGUCCUCAGCAUCUCACUUUCCAAAAUGCUCUGAAAGCUCUCCUCAUUUCAAACCCAUCUUCCUCAGUGAUAGUGUGCACAUACAUCAACUUGUUAGUCUAUUUGAGGAGCUAGUUAUCUUACUCAUUAGAACAAGUUAUGUUUAUUCUUUUUAAUAUGUUACUUAUAGCAUUUAUUUCAUUUAUUUUUCUCUAUCUUUGAAGUGCUGAGAUGCACAGCCACUCUUAUUGACUCUUUGUGGGCAGCGCUGUUGUUAGGUGUGUGUAUAUUUUGCUCCAGAUAUCUGUGCUCUUCUAACUUCCUUUUGGAAAGCUGCAUUUGUGGGAGAAAGGUUCCUGUGGGCCCUGGUCUGCUUUAUGGAUGCUGUGGACCAGCAUGGGAUGUGAUGAUGUUAAUUAAUAAUGGCAACCAUUAUUCUUUCUCUGCUGGUCAUUUUCGGAGCAGUGCUCUGCAUUGUGCUUCUCCAGCUGUCUCUCCUCCUCUCUCUUUCUUCUCUGCCCAUUCUUUGGCAUGUGCCUGUAUGUCUCACUUGCCCACUGUCCAGGUACCUUUGGGGAAGCACAGCUGUGUCGACAUCUAAAAUCCUGCUGUGAAUUGUGGAAAGUAUCCCGGCAGUGAUGAAAACCUUGCAUUUCAUAGCCAACUCAACAAAAAGGAAGGGCUGUGCAUGGAUGACUAAUUUAAUUUCCCUUUGCCUAUAGCAGAAUCUGCUAAAGGAUUUGCAGUUGGUUUCCCCUUUAGCCAGGGUGUCUUGCUGUGGACCUGUUGAAAUUGCAUACGUGGCAGCAGUCACAGUUGUUGCACUGGUGAGCUAAAGAGGGCACUUGAAGCUUUUGAGCAGCAAAGGUAGACUCCUGAGAAAGAAUUAACAUAUGGAAACCAUGAAGACCAUCCCCAGCCUGCUGGCUGUUGUGGGCCUCAUCCCCAUUGCCUCUGCCAAGCCCAGCCAUAGGAAUGAUGUCAGUGAGUCGCUCUGUGGGGUUCUGGAGAGCAGUGAAAUGUGCCCAGUGAAGUCAGUGAUGACAUUUCCAGUCCUGGAGGGUUACACGACCAUAAGUUGCCCCCACGCCUGUUCUAUUGGAUGCAGAUCUGGAAGCAGAGCCCUUCAGCUCCUUGAAUCCAACUCAUUGUAUCUGGGAACAGAGCCAAGGGGGGAUGGAGGAGACUUCAACUGGUGUCAACCACAGCUGCAUGUCUGCUUAGCAACACAGGUUUUUGUAAAUACAUUCUCCAUGGCUCUGCAACCUCUGCUGAUUUUUUUUGCUGAACGAAGAGGCCUAUGUGGGAGCUGGGGCCACCCCUAGAACCACUGACCCAUUGUGGACAAGAAAAUUUUGGAAAUGCUAAAUCUAUCAGGUACUGGGCACUACCAGCCAUCUCCCAGGUGCUGCUCCUCAUGACUGAACAGCAGUGGUUGCUCUGGGUCCUGCAGCAAGAAAGGCAACAAGCCUCUGCUCAUCUUCCUAAGCAGCUGCCCAGUGUCUGGUGCACUCUGGCUGCAUCUGCUGCAAUGAGUAAAUGUCAAAUGGUGAAGGCUUUAAGAUCAGACAAAGCUUUGAGGAGAAAAAACCCUUACAUUAGACACGUUACUGCAGGUUCAGUUUGGGUCAAAGACUUCCUCCAUCCUUCUGAGAUGUACCUGAUGCCAGAUCCACAUGGCAUUGAGCUGGGCAUGACCUGAGGACACUGUGUCUAUGUUUUGAAGGGGCAACGUGUAUGGAUGAAGUCAGCCACACUUUUUGCUUUAUCCCUAGGUGCCUCCUCAGCCCCCGCUGGGUUGAGUGGAACAAAAGCUCUUCCAAAUACUGAUGCCAAAUAACCAGAGCAGGACUCCAGAGCUCCCCUUCCAGCUCUAGGAGACGAAUUGACCUAAUGCAUGAAGCAGGUUCCUGAGAAGCAGGACUGCUGAAAUCAUGUUGUAGCAGUGGGAGGGGUUGAGGUUAAGUGGCCAGGAAAGGGAACAAGGAGCCAGGAUUCAUAGACUGUAGCUCUAUCCAUAAUGGAGAGUCUCUUUCUGAUUGUGGCGGCAGAGAACUUGGGUCAGGACUUAUCAGUAUUAUGGACAAGCCACCCAUAAGCUUUGUUUGCCUUUGAUUCCGGUCUAGGUUCAUUCAACUUUUGUCUGAGGCAAGAUCUGAACUCACUCCUUUCCUUUGAAAUGGUUUUCUGUUAUCGGUGAAAAGGAGAAAAAAAAUGACUUAAUCGUCUUGCUGAGUAAACAGUUCCCACUCCUUCCUCAGAAAACAAAAGCUGAAGAUUCAUUUUCCUCAGAACCCAUGGCAGAUGAAUCAGAAAGCUGGGCUUUUUGUGCGUGUGUCUGAGCUGGGCUGACAAGAACAAGUGAGCCAAAUGGGGAUGACAGAAAUGGUGUCAGAAGCUGGUACCUCUGUUCACUGGGAAAGUGCUGGACGUGAACACGGCUGAGGAGGAGGGACAUCUCCAGCUCUGGGCCUCUGGAUAGUUCAGCUGUUGAGUCAGAUGGGUCUGGGGCUUUACAAAACAGUGAGGGGGCAAGGGUGAGCAAAAAGCCAAGAGCGUGCGUGUGCGAGAAAGAUGUCUCACUCCUGGCAGUGGGCCAAAGGAGUGGUUACUGCAGCCCUUGAGACACGCUUGCAAACACAUAUGCUGGCUUGCACACGUGUGCUCUUGCUCACACACACGUACCACUAACAGCAUAUGGAGGCUGCUCCCAGCGGCCAGCCCUGCUUCACACUGGUCCCUGUUAAUGACCAACAUCUGGCGAGGAAGCUGGGGUGGAGAAACAGCUGGGGCCAGUGAGCCCUUUCCCUGGCGAGGGGUGAAGGGGAGGGCUGAGGGCUGGGCUGGGCUCCACUUCUCUAAAAGCAGCCUGCAAACACUCACUCCUGCUUCCUCUGUGGAGAGCAGAGGUUGAGCAGCUCUCUGCUUUCAUGUUUUGUGUGUUAAAGAGCCACUAAAAAACAAUUGUGUGAAACCAAAGGUCUGUGGCUGCACCAGGCCAUAAUAGCCAGGGCAGGUUUUGCCAGCCCAGACUGCUUUUGCCAAGAGGUCUUAGCUUUGAUGCAGAGUAUGGGAGCACAGAUAUCCUCAAUAUAUGUUGUUAGGAAGGAUUCAUUAUACUGAUAAAAGGAUUUUUCAAAAUUAAUAUGGGCUGUUAACAGAUUUGGGUUUGUCUGACCUUCCCGUUGGCAAAACUGGAGAGGAAACAGCAUCUAUCUCAUGGUCCUGCAGCAGCCCUCUCUGCAGAAAAACAGUGGCGUUUUGGCCCCCGGGGAGGAUCAUUCACUGGUGUGAACUGGUGGGGGAUGCUGACCCUGCUAGAGGGUGUGUGGGUUUGCCCUGCUGCUGCCUGAGUUUGUCCUGCGCCUUGUGUGCUCCCCAAGGUCUGAUGAUAACUGAGGUGAAGUAAAAAAUGCACUGUUAGGGAAAUAUGGGGAAACUUUGCAUUUUUUAAAUUACAGCUGUUCUUCAUCUGGGAGGACUCUGCUGCCAAGCUGGGUGGUUGCCCCGUCCCAGCUUCUUAACAGCUGCACCCCAUCUCACCCUUGGAAUUCAUCUGCAGGGGCCCAAGGUGGCGAUUGCUCACAUCUUGCCCAGUCUGGAGAAUCCCCAUCCUCCCCAGUGGAGCUCUGGGCAGUGGAAAACCUCCCCAGUGUGUCAGCCUGCCUGAGCCUGGACUGUGGCUACCCUGAGACAGCUCUUAGGAAACAUACCAAAGCCUUUCUGGGCUUCAGAGAGGUGAUCUUAUCCAGCUCUGCUGUUAUCAUUGCCUCCUCCUUGGGAGUAUAGGAGAGCUGUCAGAGGUGAGAAGAGAGAGAUGGGGGGUAUGGAACGGUAAAACAAAGGGAAUAGAUCUUUUACAAAUAAAGAGCAAAUUUUUGUGGUUGUCAUCUCUGCCUGUCCAGCAUGGGACUCCUGAGGAAUGAGGCCUCGUUUCCUGUAGCUGAGCAUGCCUGUGCUUCCCACUGGCUGCACAUGCUGGAAGACACCCUGCCUGACAUGCCACUGAGCUGAGGGUCGGGGGGGAAUGAUGGGGCAGUCAGGACUGGGAAUGGUGCACCCUGGGGACACACUCCACAGAGUGUGGUGCUGGGCCUGGGGAAUUGAGAGCCUUACCAGCAUCCUUCCCCCUCUCAUCAUCUCCCCACCAUUCGCCCUGCCUGUAAGACACUGGCUGGCAAGGGCUGAAGUGAACAUCAGAGUAUCUUUUGCCCCAGCAAUGUCCUCAAACCAGAGCUCUCCUCCAAGUGGGGUCAGUGAGGCCAGACUCUGCCCUGGAUCUCUGGCUUCCAGGUUGAGUGUGAGACCACAGAGGAAGGCUGAGGUUGGAGUGUGGCCAUGUAUCUAAUUACUCUCCCAGAUGUGUGUAAGCAUGGUACACCAUCACCGGACAUAGUCCACACGUCCCCACUUGCUCAACACUGAGUCACAACAGACUGGAAAAAUACAGCCCACUCUGAUGCUCCAAUAGAGAUGUAAGUGCUCUCUAGUAAUACAUGAGUAUUGUACGUGAGCAGCCAGUUGGGACAGUCGGUAUCAGACAUUUCCAGCUUGAAGACUGGGAUGUUUACUGUAUGACUGAAUUCAGUUCAACAGGGAAUGACUCAGGGGAGACUUUUAUGACAUACUCAAGGCUGUUUUGGGAUGAUGCUCAUCAAGUUCUGAGAACACCAUCUUGACCUGCCCCUUUCUUCAAGCCUGUCAGACAAGUGUUGGGCAAUUAAAAUUCUAAAUCAUAGGUAUUGAGGAAACAAGGGAAAUCCUGUUUUAUCAUGAGACAUUUCUGCUAAGAGGGAAGGAAUUCAUCCUGGUGGAUGUUUGGGAGGAAGCACUCAUUGGAGUUGAUCUGUCUGGGGCACCAUGAUGAGAUAGUGAGUUGGUGAUCAGGAAAAAGGCAAUGCCUCACCACCAUCCUCCCUUCUCACUGAAUAGUAUCCUAUGUGGUGGCAUCUGGACACAAAGUCCUGCUGAGGGGAAUCCACAGAGGACCAGCCAGCUCCUGUCUCAAAGGCUGGGAGGGGGCACUGGCUCCUCCCUCAGAGCUGGAAGAAUAGCACAUACAGAACACCUGGGCUGACAAUUCCUCUCCCCCUGGGAGGCUCUGGAUGCUGCCAGUGCUGCUAGCUGUGCACGGCUGGGUCACAGAUGUGUUGCUGUUGGGCACACGCAUAACAUGUCCACGUCUUUGCUAGUGGGCUCUGGAGAGAGGCAAGAAACUGGAUAUUCCUGGGCUCCAUGGCCUUUUCUUCAAAGGCCUAUCUGUUGAAGGAAUCAGUGCUGACCCAGCCAUGGGAUCAGCAGGAGCGUUCUUUAAACCUUUACAUGUCACCCCUUUGCACUUGCAACUUAAGGCCUUAAGAGCGCUACAGCAAGGGGAAGAUGGUCUGAUCUCCUGUCUUGUUGGACUGGAAGGACUGGAGAGGCAGAGCCUCUGCCUGGUGAAGGAAUGGAUUCCUGUCAUAAUCAACUGGUGGAAACCCAUUCUGUAGCCCGCGGCAUUUACACAGAGUAGUUAGGAGGCUGCGGGGUGUUGCUGAGAUAUAGUAAGUACUGUGACUGAGGCUGCUGCAUCACUGUUCUCUUCCCUUGGCCUUUCACAGGCAGAGGAGACAAGGCAAGAGUUCAGUGAAAGGGGAGGGAGCUAGGUGGACAUCCUGACAAACCCUUGAUGGCACUGAGCUGCCGUGCAGUUGGAGCUACGAGUAGUUUAGUGCUUCUCUGUGUCCCUUUGAGAUGGACCAUGGUAACCCUCUGGCUCUGCACCUCUGACCAGCUUGAUCACACGUGCCAAUUGUUUGUCUUCAACCAGCAUGUUCUACCAGAUGCUGCUUUUUCCUUGCCACUGAUUCUUGUCUCUUACUGUUUAGAUCCAUCCACCGCCAAAAGCAGGUCAUAGAAUAAUAGAAUGAUAGAUUCAUGGAAUGGUUCAGGUUGGAAGAGACCUUAAAGAUCAUCUAGUUCCAACCCCACUGCCAUGGGCAGGGACAACUUGCUCAGAGCUCCAUCCAACCUGGCCUUUGACACUUCCAGGGAUGGGGAUGCUGAGUCUAUGUGAGCUGCAUGAAACUCCAGUGCAGCUGAGCGCUUCAGUAUAAGGUCUAGGGAAGACCUCCAGCUGGAAAGCACUGCAAGGCAGACCCACAGGGCAGUUUGGCAUCUAAACUGCUGUUGAAACUAACUGACUUGUCUCUGAGGUAAAGCACUGGGGUAUCUGGUCUGCUCAGAUCUGCGACUGGAGGACAAGACCAGCUAAGAUUCUUUCAGAGAAAUGGUGGAAGACAAAAAGUGUAGGAGAGAGUCCGAAGAGUUGGCACUCAAACUCAAAAACCUUAUGUGAGAGCAUAGCAAGAAACAUCUUUCCAGGUCAGCUCCUGACCCUUCUGUGUAAGGGCUUUCUAUGAUUUGCCACGCUGCUAAGUUGCUGACCAGUGGGUUGCUGUCUCAAAGGUGAAUUUUACUGUAGUCUCAAACAAUAUGUGAAGUGAUCAGUGUAAAAUUUCUCUCUUCCUCAGGACUGUGAGGAAGGACUUCAUCUUGUGGGGCUGUGGUCACAGGUCUGAGGUUUUGCUGGCUGUAUAAGCCACCAGCAAGAAUAAGCCCCCGAGUGAGAUCCAUCCUCUGUGGGAUCCAGGGACUGACCUGACUGGUGUGUUUUGUCCACUGAUAUCCAGGUCUAUCCUGAGCAUCUGGACCCAGUGAGUGAUAAGUGAGAGAACAGGAGCCUCAGAAAUGUGAGAGGGGAAAAAAAAUGUGGAAGGAGGCAUGGAUUGAGAUCAGGCUGCAGAGCGCUUCCAAGUAUGAACAAACCUAAAUGAAGACAGCUGGCAGAGGCUCUUGUCAUCUAAUUCCUUCCAGAUGUGCAGUCAUAUGCUGCAGUUUCUGACUAAUGACAUCCCUGAGGAAAGCCCUGGGGAUGCUGCAGUGAUGGGGUGGGCGAGGGGCAUGCCAGGAACCUGUUGGUGGGCCGAUAGCACUGACUCCCCAGAAGCUGCUGCUUGGAGACCCUGGGGAGGGACCCUCUGCUCUCCCUCUCUUCCCCUUGAGAUCAGCAGGGCUCAGCAGGUGGCACGGGGCUGACUCUGCCAUGCUUGGGCACCCAGGCAGCUCUCCACAGGUGGGUAAAGCUACUUAAUCCAAUAGCAGUGUCCUGCAGAGAUACUUUAUGGCCUGGAAGCCAGAAAUCCACACUUAGUAGGGUUGUGCUGGAGCAAAUUAGUGAUGUUUUCUGAUAAUGAAUUGAGGUUGAAGCGUUUAUGCUGCUUCCCACUUGGGAGCCCAUUCAGAUCUCCCUGCGUGAUGCCUCUCUCUGCCAGAGAGAUGUCUGAGAAAUCAGUCUGGGUGGGAAGAUUUGUAAAUCCUGCUGUGUCCCCAUGAAAUAUCUGCCCUGUGUGUCCCCAUUUUAUGUUCCUGCACAGCCUGGGUUGUAUUAGAGCUGUGCACAUUCUCCAACGGGUUUAGUUUCCUCAUCCCCUGUGGGGGAGACCAUGCUAGCUUUAUCAGCUGGGGUAUAGGAGACACUCUGGCUUGGAUAUGGGUCAGGAACUGGGGAGGACCAGCUCUUCUGGCUCCAGGAGGGAGAUAAUGUCUUCCCAGAGUAUUGCCUCCUUCACAGUGUCUUUCAGAAACUGCAAUCCGCCUGGGUUCCAUCUUGAUGCUUAGGAAGAGGAAUUAUUUUGGGUCUUCCCGUGGUCCCUGUUCUCUCCCUCUUCCUCUCCACACCUUUGUAAUUAACCUCUGAACCCUGGCUAAUCCCAGGAUUAGCAUGUCAUGGGCUAUUGGUUAGGUCUCCCACCACCCCUUCUGUGUCCCAGCAUCCCUGACAAACUUGCAGGGGGGUCCGGAAAGCCAGGUUGCCCCUGAGGAGGGAGGAAGCUUGUAAUGGAUGUGCGAUGUCAGGAGCCUGGCGGGUGGUGAGAGAUAAUCCGGGGGUCACCUGUGGCUGAUAAUGAUCUCCUGAAGCCUGGGAGCAGGGUGGAGGGGCACAAAGAGCCUGAGGGGCUGUGGCAGCCACUUCAGCCUCCCUACCUUGGCCCCUUCUGCCAGGCAGAGUGGGAUGCAGAGGAAAGGAGAAUCCUGGUGGGCUUUCAGUCGAGGUGUAAAUAUCUCCUCUGCCUGCAGGUUAAGGCAAAGGAUUGGCUUGUGUCUUUUGGUGCAGCAUCUCCUUCAGGACUUAGUUAUGCAUGUGCUUUCCCUCGGGAGGGUAUCCUUGGGCAAAUGGAGAACUUGUUCAUGGGGUUUAUUCAAUAUCAGUGCUUGAGAUGCACUCCAGAUUGGUGGGUGAACUCUCUGCUCCCCUCUCAGCCUUCUUCUGCCUUACCUAUGUCUCCCUGGGGGCACUUCACAGCUCCCAGAUGACUGAUUUUCCAGGAGAGCCUCAGAGAAAUUCACGUUUAACCUAGCAGAGGCAGUGCAGUGACCUCUGUCACUCCACUUCUCCUUCAAGAUGAAAACUCCCAGCCCUGAUGAACCAUGCAGCAACACACUCAAUUUAGCCACAAGAACUGCUUUUUACGUCCAAGACAUCCAGCUGUGUAAUGGACCACACGGUGGAAAUAACAGAAGUAGCAAUGGACUCAUGCUGGGGUUGGCCCAAAGAAAAACAGAGACUGCAAGGGAAAACCUCAUAGAUAGUGGUCAAGACAUGAAGAAAGGACGAGGUGCCAGUUUCCCUUAGCUGAGGUGUUUGUGGCUUUCAGUGCCUCUUAACUCCCUAAAUGCCUAUGCCCUCUCCUUUUGGUGUAACUCCAUGAGCUUCUCUAGGACACCCCUGGGCCGGGGAGAAGGAUGAGCCCAGACACUGGGGCAAUUCCUUGCCACAGUGGUAAGGUGCUGGGAGCUGAGCCUGGUGGGUGCUGCCUGAAGGGGAACAAACUCCUGGGAAGGCACCUGGGUUUGCAGUGGUGUGGGAUGCAGGUUUCCUUUCACCCCGGGGCA